GAUGAACGCUGGCGGCGUGCCUAAUACAUGCAAGUCGAGCGAACGGACGAGAAGCUUGCUUCUCUGAUGUUAGCGGCGGACGGGUGAGUAACACGUGGAUAACCUACCUAUAAGACUGGGAUAACUUCGGGAAACCGUAGCUAAUACCGGAUAAUAUUUUGAACCGCAUGGUUCAAAAGUGAAAGACGGUCUUGCUGUCACUUAUAGAUGGAUCCGCGCUGCAUUAGCUAGUUGGUAAGGUAACGGCUUACCAAGGCAACGAUGCAUAGCCGACCUGAGAGGGUGGUCGGCCACACUGGAACUGAGACACGGUCCAGACUCCUACGGGAGGCAGCAGUAGGGAAUCUUCCGCAAUGGGCGAAAGCCUGACGGUGCAACGCCGCGUGAGUGAUGAAGGUCUUCGGAUCGUAAAACUCUGUUAUUAGGGAAGAACAUAUGUGUAAGUAACUGUGCACAUCUUGACGGUACCUAAUCAGAAAGCCACGGCUAACUACGUG
rnacentral:rRNA from 1 species